UGGCGACCGUCGCACGGGUGAGUAACACGUAUCCAACCUGCCGAUGACUCGGGGAUAGCCUUUCGAAAGAAAGAUUAAUACCCGAUGGCAUAGUUCUUCCGCAUGGUGGAACUAUUAAAGAAUUUCGGUUCAUCGAUGGGGAUGCGUUCCAUUAGGUUGUUGGCGGGGUAACGGCCCACCAAGCCUUCGAUGGAUAGGGGUUCUGAGAGGAAGGUCCCCCACAUUGGAACUGAGACACGGUCCAAACUCCUACGGGAGGCAGCAUUG
rnacentral:rRNA from 1 species